rnacentral:misc_RNA from 1 species
GAUGAAGAACGCAGCGAAAUGCGAUAAGUAAUGCGAAUUGCAGAAUUCCAGUGAGUCAUCGAAUCUUUGAACGCACAUUGCGCCCUUUGGUAUUCCGAAGGGCAUGCCUGUUCGGGCGUCAUUAUCACCCCUCAAGCCCUCGGCUUGGUGUUGGACGGUUUGGUGGAGGCCCCCUCGGGGGCUCCUGCCCCUCCCAAAGACAAUGACGGCGGCCUCGUUGGACCCCCGGUACACUGAGUUCUUCACGGGACACGUAUCGGACACAUGGGUUUACGGGACACGGUCUGCCUCCCCUCAGGGAGAAUCUUUCUAAGGUUGACCUCGGAUCAGGUAGGGAUACCCGCUGAACUUAAGCAUAUCAAUAAGCGGAGGA